rnacentral:misc_RNA from 1 species
UCAAAUGUAACAAUCAUGUGAUGUUUAUUUGCAGAUAAAAUACAAAUUAAAGUAUUCAUGGGCUUAUGUAGAACGAACAAGAAUAUCUACGGAAAUAGACGCCGCAUGCCGGACCGUAGGGUAUCACAAAAGUGAGGAACUAGCCGAUACCAGAUCGCCAAUUAUGCUGCUGCUUAAUGAAACUUCCGAAACAACAGCUUUUAGUGGAAAAAUAACAGAAAAGAUGUCAAACGACACUUCCGCAACACCAGCUACUAGUGAAAACACAACAGCAGCGAUGUUAACCCAUACUACUGAAACAUCAGCUAUUAGUACAACGAGAACUAAAAUGAUGUCAAACGACACUUCCGGAACAUCAGUUAUUAGUGGAAAGUCAACAGAAAAGAUGUCAAACGACACUUCCGUAACACCAGCUACCAGUGAAAAUACAACAGCGGCAAUGUUAAACGACACUUCUGAAACACCGGCUUUUAGUACAGAGACAACUAAAAAAGUAUCCAACGUCACUUCCGCAAGACUGGCUAUUAGUGGAGAGCCAACAGAAAAGAUGUCAAACGACACUUCCGUAACACCAGCUACCAGUGAAAAUACAACAGCGGCAAUGUUAAACGACACUUCUGAAACACCGGCUUUUAGUACAGAGACAACUAAAAAAGUAUCCAACGUCACUUCCGCAAGACUGGCUAUUAGUGGAGAGCCAACAGAAAAGAUGUCAAACGACACUUCCGUAACACCAGCUACCAGUGAAAAUACAACAGCGGCAAUGUUAAACGACACUUCUGAAACACCGGCUUUUAGUACAGAGACAACUAAAAAAGUAUCCAACGUCACUUCCGCAAGACUGGCUAUUAGUGGAGAGCCAACAGAAAAGAUGUCAAACGACACUUCCGUAACACCAGCUACCAGUGAAAAUACAACAGCGGCAAUGUUAAACGACACUUCUGAAACACCGGCUUUUAGUACAGAGACAACUAAAAAAGUAUCCAACGUCACUUCCGCAAGACUGGCUAUUAGUGGAGAGCCAACAGAAAAGAUGUCAAACGACACUUCCGUAACACCAGCUACCAGUGAAAAUACAACAGCGGCAAUGUUAAACGACACUUCUGAAACACCGGCUAUUAGUACAACGAUAACUGAAAAGAUGGCAAACGAAACUUCCAUAACAACUACUAGAAAGCCAACUAAAGAGAAGGCAUCAACAGAGAGUUUGGGCACGUCAGACAAAUUGGAACCUGAAGAACAUUCUGAAGCGGGUUCAUCUAAUACUGGAAUGAUUUUAAUAAUUCUCUUCUCGUCCCUUGGAGCCGGUAUUGUGUUGGCAAUGUUGACCAAAUUGUUUUACACGAAAUACAAGGCAAAAUCAUACGCUGUCGACAACAGGCGCAACAUCGAGAUGCAAAAUAAUGGAGCGUAACACUAAUUUGUUGAUUUGAUGUAUAUUGUAAUAAUAUAAAACAGUUUUUUUUGUUUAUGUUCAUCUAUAUGUGCCCAAAAACUUUCAUUUUUUUUAAGUUUCCAAGGCUAAUGAUAAAUGAGGAUAUAAAUUAUAAUAGGUUAAUGACUAUAAAAAAAAGUUUACGUUAAGUUUUGGUUGCCACGUUUGUAAUUAUUUUCGUAAGAAGGGUACCUUGCCCAAUAAAACUACCAUCAUCUUUCCGUUGUUCAUGACCCAUUUUCAUUCAGAAAUAAUAUAACAACAGACUAUGUCACUAGUCUUAGCAAAUCAAAAUAUUAACUAGUAAUUUUCACUAAUAAACAGCAAAAAAAAUCCACGCGAUGGAUUUUACAAAAUAUCGAGCAGCAGAAACGCUCACGGGUCGAGCUCUGUCGAUACAAUGGUCCCGAUGAGUUCUUAUCGCAUAUCUUUCGUUUGUUAGCCUGACAAGGGUCCGCUUAUACAAACACACCGGACUAUCAGAUGAGCGCUCUGGGCGCUCGCAACCCUUUAAAUUAUCUGACCAUGCUGAGGGCAACCUAUUAACGGGUUACGAACCUACGACUGGAUAAUCAAUGGGAGUGGGUGGAGCCAUUAGUGAUUAAGGGAAGAUAUUGGGACUAUCGACCAAUUACUGUAAUCUGGGCUGGAAACUAUUAGAAGAAUCAGGAAGACGAGGGGCGCGGUGAAAUCCUUGACGGUGAGGACGGAACUGCGGUCUUGUGCAGUAUAACAAUAUCAAGAACUCGUUCUUACAACGAAUAGCCUUAGAGAUAUCGUCUUUAAGGUCGGUUAAAGCUUAAUGUGGCCAUCUUCAUUUAGCGCGGUCGAAUAGAAGGUCCCAAUCAAGCAAUCCGAGAACUUUGAUAAGUUAUAUGUCUAGAUCGAGUGGCGCGCUUCAAUGACACUAAAACAAAUAGGCCAACUCUUAUAAGCUAGUGUGCGUGACUGCUGCGUCUUAAGCAAUCCCUGCGUAAGUGUGUGUGCAUAAUGAUAUAGGUUGUUGCUUUGUUCCCUCUAAAAUGCGAAGAAAAUUGUGUUCAUUGAAUUAAAUAAAUAAUUGACUUGAAA